rnacentral:misc_RNA from 1 species
AUUUCCCCCUCCUAGUUUAGUUAGGCUACUUCAGCGGAGCCGUCUGAACAGGCCACUUAUCAGCGCACCCCAAACACAAAAUCACUCCUCGCUCGAAGAGCGGGUUAUCGCGCUCCACUACACUGACCAUAAGACGGCUCCGUUCAUCCGCACCGCACGCCGUGCAGCACAAGACAGGCCGGUACUCGACGCGCUGUUCGUAAUACCAAUUAGCGCUGUCUGACGACCACAUAAUCCCCCCCUCUAAGUUAGGUGUUACUCGUCAACGUAGUCUGUAGGCAGCAAAGAGACGCCCAGAGACUGCGCGAACACCACGGCGUCUUCACGGGAGAGGUAGGGCACGUCCAGAGCGUCGGCGAGCUUUGCUACUCUCUCCUCUACCC